GGUUGUCAUGCCAAUGGCAUUGCCCGGUAGCUACGUUCGGAACUGAUAAGCGCUGAAAGCAUCUAAGCGCGAAGCAGGCCUCGAGAUGAGUUCUCACUAGACUUUUAAAGUCUCUGAAGGGCCGUUGAAGACUACAACGUUGAUAGGCAAGAUGUGGAAGUGGUGUGAGCCAUUAAGCUAACUUGUACUAAUUACCCGUGAGGCUUAACCAUACAACGCCAAACGCGUUU
rnacentral:rRNA from 1 species